rnacentral:tRNA from 1 species
GCAGUGGUGGCUCAGUGGUAGAAUUCUCACCUUCCAUGCGGGAGGCUUAGGUUUGAUUCCUGGACAAUGCG